rnacentral:rRNA from 1 species
UACGGAGGGUGCGAGCGUUGUCCGGAAUCACUGGGCGUAAAGGGCGCGUAGGCGGCUGGGGAAGUCGGCGGUGAAAGCCCGGAGCUCAACUCCGGGUCGGCCGUCGAGACUCCUCGGCUCGAGCUCACUAGAGGCAGAUGGAAUUCCGGGUGUAGCGGUGGAAUGCGUAGAGAUCCGGAAGAACACCGGUGGCGAAGGCGGUCUGCUGGGGUGAGGCUGACACUGAGGCGCGACAGCGUGGGGAGCAAGCAGG